rnacentral:rRNA from 1 species
AAGAUUAAGCCAUGCAUGUAUAAGUUGAAGCGACUUGAAUCGUGAAACCGCGAACGGCUCAUUAGAACAGCUGUAAUCCACUUGACCUUGAGGUCCUACUUGGAUAACUGUGGUAAUUCUAGAGCUAAUACACGCACAAAAUCCCUGAGCCCUUCGGGGUCGAGGGCGCAUUUAUUUGGCCAAAAUCAGACGGCUACGGUCGUUGUGGUUGACUCAGAGUAACUAAGCUGAUCGCAUGACCACGUGUCGGCGACGUGUCUUUCGAGUGUCUGCCUUAUCAACUGGUUGGUAGUGUAUCGGUCUACCAUGGUGGUAACGGGUAACGGAGGAUCAGGGUUCGACUCCGGAGAAGGGGCCUGAGAAAUGGCCACUACGUCUAAGGAUGGCAGCAGGCGCGCAAAUUACCCACUCUCGGUACGAGGAGGUAGUGACGAAAAAUAACGAGGUCGGUCCCAAGGGGCUGGUCAUUGGAAUGGGUACAAUCUAAGCCCUUUAACGAGUAUCUAUGAGAGGGCAAGUCUGGUGCCAGCAGCCGCGGUAAUUCCAGCUCUCAGAAUGCAUAGAACUAUUGCUGCGGUUAAAAAGCUCGUAGUUGGAUUCGUGCUCGGGUAUCGGUCCUCGUCUCUUUGGCUUGGCACUGGUGUCCUGGGCUUGUGGUUGGUUCUCUUGUCGGCUCUCCUUGUGGGGGUUGGCAGGUGACUGACGAGUUUACUUUGAACAAAUCAGAGUGCUCAAGACAGGCGUUCAGCCUGAAUGUUCGUGCAUGGAAUAAUAGAAGAGGAUCUCGGUGCGAUUUUGUUGGUUUUGCGGUCGAGAUAAUGAUCAAUAGGGACAGACGGGGGCAUUCGUACUUCUGCGCGAGAGGUGAAAUUUUUGGACCGCAGAAAGACGCACUACAGCGAAAGCAUUUGGCAAGAAUG